UACGUAGGGGGCAAGCGUUGUCCGGAAUCAUUGGGCGUAAAGAGCGUGUAAGCGGUUCGGUAAGUCGGCUGUGAAAGUCCAGGGCUCAACCCUGGGAUGCCGGUCGAUACUGCCGGACUAGAGUUCGGAAGAGGCGAGUGGAAUUCCCGGUGUAGCGGUGAAAUGCGCAGAUAUCGGGAGGAACACCUAUGGCGAAGGCAGCUCGCUGGGACGUUACUGACGCUGAGACGCGAAAGCGUGGGGAGCAAACAGG
rnacentral:rRNA from 1 species